rnacentral:rRNA from 1 species
AGUAACACGUAGGUGACCUGCCCCGCAGAGGGGGAUAACGGCCCGAAAGGGCUGCUAAUACCCCAUACGAUUGGUAAUUCAUUUUGCCAAUGAAAGUUUCCGCAAGGAGUAUGCUGUGGGAGGGGCCUGCGGCCGAUUAGAUUGUUGGUGGGGUAAUGGCCUACCAAGUCGAUGAUCGGUAACUAGUCUGAGAGGACGAUUAGUCACACUGGCACUGACACACGGGCCAG